ACAGGACGGAAAGACCCCGUGGAGCUUUACUGCAACCUGAUAUGGAAUGUUUGUACCGCUUGUACAGGAUAGGUAGGAGCCGAAGAGACGUGUGCGCUAGCAUACGAGGAGGCAAUGGUGGGAUACUACCCUGGCUGUAUGACCAUUCUAACCCGCCACGCUUAGCGCGUGGGGAGACAGUGUCAGGUGGGCAGUUUGACUGGGGCGGUCGCCUCCUAAAGAGUAACGGAGGCGCCCAAAGGUUCCCUCAGAAUGGAUGGAAAUCAUUCGCAGAGUGUAAAGGCACAAGGGAGCUUGACUGCGAGACUGACAAGUCGAGCAGGGACGAAAGUCGGGCUUAGUGAUCCGGUGGUUCCGCAUGGAAGGGCCA
rnacentral:rRNA from 1 species